UUACUGUGCCUGCCCAAGGCUGAUACCUUGCACUGUCCAAGUAACACUGCAGAUUCUGUCAUCAAAAUCAUACCUGUAUUCUCCAUGUAUUUUUUCAACUGCAUUUUGUAUUUUAAUUUUGGUCUAUAUUAUUUUAUUUUCAUCUGAAUGAUAAACCCAUCAUGAGGGUAGAAAAGGAAGAAUUAGCCAAUCUUAGCCUGGCUCCUGCACAAGGAUUCAAAUUCAUAAAGCAUGUCACAAUAAAAAUAAAUAAGUAACAGGUACUAUCUGUGCACACACAUUUUAUGUAUAUAUUAACCAUUAAUUACCAUAGUCAUGUUGAGAGGGCAGGGUCUUGCUGAGUUGCUUUAUGCCUUGCUAAGAGGCUGAGGCUGGCUUUGAACCCAUGAUCCUCCUGCCUCAGCCUCCCAUGCUGCUGGGAUUACAGGUGUUGGCCAUUACACCCACCAAUGACCUUUAGUUUAAGUGGCACUCAGGAGUCACAGCAAAAGCUACAGAGAACCCGGAGCUAAAAUGCCAACCCCAGUCCCGCACCCUUCUAUCUCUAAAGCACAGAGGAUGGCAGGUUUUAACCUGUGGUGACGUGGCCUUAACUCAACAAGUCUGGCUGCUGGAUUGAACCCAAGGUCAAUGUGAAAGCUGUUCAGUGGCAGCAUUUGUCACCCCCUGGAGGACAGCCCAAGACACCUUCUUCCUCCACCUAGCGUGUGAAGACUCCAGCUGCAUUUCUGUGGGUACUGCAGGGGGCUCCAUGGUCACUGGUCCCCAAGAAUGAAGGAGGCUGCCAUUCCUCCUGACUCUCAAAAUGUCCACUCUAACCAGAGGAAGAAUGUCCGACAUGGGGGCCUCCAUCUUGCAAGUUACCAACCCUGUGCCAGAAGAUACUCAGAUACUGUUUUCUGCUUCUUAGGAGGAAAUCUUGCUCUGCUGCAGAGGCUGGUCUUGAACCCCUGAGCUCCAGGGAUCCUCCUGCCUCAGCCUCCUGAGUAGCUGGACCCACAGCUGGACCUGCUGGGCCCAGCUCAAACAUGGCAGCAGAUUCAAAGUCGUGCUGAGCCUACGGUAUUGCCUGCCCCUCCAGCAGUGUCUUCUGACCUCACACCACGGGCUGUGACCCUGCACCCCUGGGGCACUGGUCUUGAUUAAAUCCACGAUGCCACGCUGCACGGGAUGGAUCGUGAACUCCAGGGGAGGCGUCUGAGCCCGAGUUCAUAAUGAACGCACCAGCAAACAGACAGACAAUCUCGAAACAUCCACAGAUCAAGUCUGCCCACGCAGGAGGUCAAAAAGGUUGUAGGUGUCAAAUGGACUCAGAAUAGAUUGAUUGUGACUCUGAGGGAACUUGUUGUGAUGUCCAUCAGGCAGGCCCAUAGGAAAGCCCUUCCUCCACCAUCUCCCAGGGCCACUUACUGUUGGAUGGACUGACACAAAGGUACAUCUCAAGUCACAGAAAAGAACUAUCAUCUGAUCCCGUGAAUGCCCACGUCUGGCUGUGUGUGGUUGGACUCUCCUGCCAGGCGUCUGAGACCAAGUUGGACCAUUUUCCUAUCUACUCUGAGAUUUGUGGGGUAUCACUCUUGGGAACCUGGGAGAACCCUCUUGGCCCCUUUCGCUGUUUCUCUACGAGUUGGGCCAUGUGACAGGAUGGGUCAGAGUCUUGCUGAACAACUGUUGCUUCUCUUGAUGUAUCCAAAAAUAUUUCCCUGUCCACUCAGUGACCCUCCUCUGUGCAGAAUGUGCUCUGGCUGGAUUCUGUUUUCUGAGGUCCUUUCAAUCCCUCUGAACACGCUUUUGGGUGCCUCACACCAGUGCUGUAGGGACCUGAGAGGGACACCAUAUCUCCCUGGAUCCUGGCUGACCCCAGAGAGCCAGGGCCCAAAUAUUGGCUUCUAUUUCCUUGACCCUUUUACUUCCUUAACUUUGGUCUCCAGGAUUUGGUUUUAAACAUCGAGCAAGUCAGUUUCUGCAGUCUUGAAGUGGGAGUCCUGGGUUUGCAUUUCAGUGCAUAUCAUUUUAUAGUGACCCCUUCAACUUAAUCAGGGUCAUUGUUAAUACUGAAAGUGGGUUGUAUCUUCUAUCUAAAGGCUAAUUGACUCCACUGAACUCAGGUGUUCUUUUAGAUGCAGUGUUUCUGCAAAAACACCAAACAGGCUACAGCUACAAAGUUUUACAAAGAAAAUACAGAAUGAAAUUAAAAAGAGUAAAAGUGUGUUCAGUUGGUAUAGUAGCUAUGAACCCAAAAAUGCAUUUUAUCCAAAUCUUUUAUGAGUCCCAUAUUAUAUCCCUGGUUCUUUUUUUUUACAUGACAGGAAUCUUUACAAUAAAAAAAUGUAUCUUGUGAA